rnacentral:rRNA from 1 species
GAUGAACGCUGGCGGCGUGCCUAACACAUGCAAGUCGAGCGGACGGACGAGAAGUUUGCUUCUUUGAUGUUAGCGGCGGACGGGUGAGUAACACGUGGAUAACCUCCCUAUAAUACUGGGAUAACUUCGGGAAACCGGAGCUAAUACCGGAUAAUCUUUUGAACCGCAUGGUUCAAAAGUGAAAUACGGUGUUGCUGUCAGUUAUAGAUGGAUCCGCGCUGCAUUAGCUUGUUGGUGAGUUAACGGCUUACCAAGGCAACGAUGCAUAGCCGACCUGGGAGGGUGAGGGGCCACAGUGGAACUGAGACGCGGUCCAGGCUCCUACGGGAGGCAGCGGUAGCGAAGGGGCCGCAAUGGGCGAAAGCCUGACGGAGCAGCGGCGCGUGAGUGAUGAAGGUCUGCGGAUCGGAGAACGCUGUUAUUAGGGAAGAACAGAUGUGUAAGUAACUGUGCGCGUCUGAACGGUACCGAUACAGAAGGCCCCGCUAAACUCGGG